GACGAACGCUGGCGGCGUGCUUAACACAUGCAAGUCGAACGGGUCUGCCCUGUUUUUUGCGGGGUGGGUCAGUGGCGAACGGGUGAGUAACACGUGAGUAACCUGCCCCUCACUUCUGGAUAACCGCUUGAAAGGGUGGCUAAUACGGGGUGUUCUGGCUGUGCCGCAUGGUGUGGCUGGGAAAGAUUCACUUUUGUGGUGUUUUGGUGGGGGAUGGGCUCGCGGCCUAUCAGCUUGUUGGUGGGGUGAUGGCCUGCCAAGGCUUUGACGGGUAGCCGGCCUGAGAGGGUGGGCGGUCACACUGGGACUGAGAUACGGCCCGGACUCCUGCGGGAGGCAGCAGUGGGGGGUAUUGCACAAUGGGCGGAAGCCUGAUGCAGCGACGUCGCGUGAGGGAUGGAGGCCUUCGGGUUGUGAACCUCUUUCGCCGGUGAAGAAGGUCCUGCUCUUUGUGGUGGGGUUGACGGUAGCCGGGUUAUGAAGCGCCGGCUAACUACGUG
rnacentral:rRNA from 1 species